CAUUUUUCUAAUGUUUAUUUUCUAUUUAUUUUUAGGUCCGAAUGAGAUUAAUCAUGAAAAUGACUAUGCUGAAGUUAAUUUCCAAGGAACAGACGAUAAGGUGCUUUCAACUGAAACUACCAAACGAAAGAAGGAACAAAAGAAGAAGAAAGGUAAACAGAAAGAAGAUCAAGACAAGGAGGCUAAACGACAAAAAUCAGGG